GACAGAGGGUGCAAACGUUUGUUCGGAAUUACUGGGCGUAAAGCGCGUGUAGGCUGCUUCGCAAGUCGGAUGUGAAAGCCCUGGGCUCAACCCAGGAAGUGCAUUCGAAACUGCAGAGCUGGAGUCCUGGAGAGGAAGGCGGAAUUCUCGGUGUAGAGGUGAAAUUCGUAGAUAUCGAGAAGGAACACCGGUGGCGAAGGCGGCCUUCUGGACAGUGACUGACGCUGAGACGCGAAAAGCGUGGGGGAGCAAACAGG
rnacentral:rRNA from 1 species